UACGGAGGAUGCAAGCGUUAUCCGGAAUGAUUGGGCGUAAAGCGUCCGCAGGUGGCUGUGUAAGUCUGCUGUCAAAGAGCGAAGCUCAACUUCGUAAAGGCAGUGGAAACUACACGGCUAGAGUGCGUUCGGGGCAGAGGGAAUUCCUGGUGUAGCGGUGAAAUGCGUAGAUAUCCGGAGGAACACCGAUGGCGAAGGCAGCUCUCUGGUCUGACACUGACGCUGAGGUGCGAAAGCGUGGGGAGCAAACAGG
rnacentral:rRNA from 1 species